AUUGAACGCUGGCGGCAUGUUUUACACAUGCAAGUCGAACGGUAACAGGCCGCAAGGUGCUGACGAGUGGCGAACGGGUGAGUAAUGCAUCGGAACGUGCCCAGUCGUGGGGGAUAACGCAGCGAAAGCUGCGCUAAUACCGCAUACGAUCUCUGGAUGAAAGCGGGGGACCGAAAGGCCUCGCGCGAUUGGAGCGGCCGAUGUCAGAUUAGGUAGUUGGUGGGGUAAAGGCUCACCAAGCCAACGAUCUGUAGCGGGUCUGAGAGGACGACCAGCCACACUGGGACUGAGACACGGCCCAGACUCCUACGGGAGGCAGCAGUGGGGAAUUUUGGACAAUGGGCGCAAGCCUGAUCCAGCAAUGCCGCGUGCAGGAAGAAGGCCUUCGGGUUGUAAACUGCUUUUGUACGGAACGAAACGGUCCUGGUUAAUACCUGGGGCUAAUGACGGUACCGUAAGAAUAAGCACCGGCUAACUACGUGCCAGCCGCCGCGGUAAGAC
rnacentral:rRNA from 1 species